GUUGACCUCGGAUCAGGUAGGGAUACCCGCUGAACUUAAGCAUAUCAAUAAGCGGAGGAAAAGAAACCAACCGGGAUUGCCUCAGUAACGGCGAGUGAAGCGGCAAGAGCUCAAAUUUGAAAUCUGGCCCCUCCGGGGUCCGAGUUGUAAUUUGCAGAGGAUGCUUCGGUUGCAGCCCCCAUCUAAGUGCUCUGGAACGGGCCGUCAUAGAGGGUGAGAAUCCCGUAUGGGAUGGGGUGUCUGCGUCCGUGUGAAGCUCCUUCGACGAGUCGAGUUGUUUGGGAAUGCAGCUCUAAAUGGGUGGUAAAUUUCAUCUAAAGCUAAAUACUGGCCGGAGACCGAUAGCGCACAAGUAGAGUGAUCGAAAGAUGAAAAGCACUUUGAAAAGAGAGUUAAACAGCACGUGAAAUUGUUGAAAGGGAAGCGCUUGCGACCAGACUCGCCUACGGGGUUCAGCCGGCUUUCGGGCCGGUGUACUUCCCCGUGGGCGGGCCAGCGUCGGUUUGGGCGGCCGGUCAAAGGCCCUGGGAAUGUACCGCCCUUCGGGGCGGCUUAUAGCCCAGGGUGCAAUGCGGCCUGCCUGGACCGAGGAACGCGCUUCGGCACGGACGCUGGCAUAAUGGUCGUAAGCGACC
rnacentral:rRNA from 1 species